rnacentral:rRNA from 1 species
AUUGAACGCUGGCGGCAGGCUUAACACAUGCAAGUCGAGCGAGCGGCGGAUGGGUGAGUGAUGUCUGGGAAACUGCCUGAUGGAGGGGGAUAACUACUGGAAACGGUAGCUAAUACCGCAUACCAUCAGAUGUGCCCAGUUGGGAUUAGCUAGUAGGUGGGGUAAAGGCUCACCUAGGCGACGAUCCCUAGCUGGUCUGAGAGGAUGACCGGCCAACCUGGAACGGAGACACGGUCCAGACUCCUCGGGGAGGCAGCAGUGGGGAAUAUUGGACAAUGGGCGAAAGCCUGACGAAGCAAUGCCGCGUGUGUGAAGAGGGCCUUCGGGUUGUAAAGCCCUUUCAGCGAGGAGGCGUUACUCGCAGAAGAAGCACCGGCUAACUCCGUGCCAGCAGCCGCGGUAAUAC